rnacentral:rRNA from 1 species
UACGAAGGGGGCUAGCGUUGCUCGGAAUCACUGGGCGUAAAGGGUGCGUAGGCGGGUCUUUAAGUCAGGGGUGAAAUCCUGGAGCUCAACUCCAGAACUGCCCUUGAUACUGAGGGUCUUGAGUAUGGGAGAGGUGAGUGGAACUGCGAGUGUAGAGGUGAAAUUCGUAGAUAUUCGCAAGAACACCAGUGGCGAAGGCGGCUCACUGGCCCAUUACUGACGCUGAGGCACGAAAGCGUGGGGAGCAAACAGG